rnacentral:tRNA from 1 species
UCCUUGGUGACUCAGACGGUAAAGCGUCUGCCUGCAAUGCAGGAGACCCAGGUUCCAUCCCUGGGUCGGGAG